UGGCCAUUGUGAUUUCACCAGCAUAUGCUGU
rnacentral:piRNA from 1 species